rnacentral:rRNA from 1 species
CCUACGGGAGGCAGCAGUGGGGAAUAUUGGACAAUGGGGGCAACCCUGAUCCAGCAAUGCCGCGUGAAUGAUGAAGGCCUUAGGGUUGUAAAGUUCUUUUAUUGAUGACGAUAAUGACGGUAAUCAAUGAAUAAGCACCGGCUAACUUCGUGCCAGCAGCCGCGGUAAUACGAAGGGUGCUAGCGUUGUUCGGAAUGACUGGGCGUAAAGGGUGCGUAGGCGGCCAGAAGCGUCUGAUGUGAAAUCCCUGGGCUUAACCUAGGAACUGCAUUGGAUACGGUCUGGCUAGAGUCCGCGAGAGGAAGAUGGAAUUGUGCGUGUAGAGGUGAAAUUCGUAGAUAUGCACAAGAACACCGGUGGCGAAGGCGAUCUUCUGGAGCGGUACUGACGCUAAGGCACGAAAGUGUGGGGAGCAAACAGGAUUAGAUACCCCAGUAGUC